UCUUUGCUAGUAUAUCGGUUAGUACACGCGCCUGUCAUUGGAGAGAAUUUCAACUUUCACCCUUGACCGCGCGAAAGCUGGGUUCGACUCCCAGGCAAAGAG